AUUGAACGCUGGCGGAAUGCUUUACACAUGCAAGUCGAACGGCAGCACGGGGCAACCUGGUGGCGAGUGGCGAACGGGUGAGUAAUACAUCGGAACGUGCCCAAUCGUGGGGGAUAACGUAGCGAAAGUUACGCUAAUACCGCAUACGAUCUACGGAUGAAAGCGGGGGAUCGCAAGACCUCGCGCGAGUGGAGCGGCCGAUGUCAGAUUAGGUAGUUGGUGGGGUAAAGGCUCACCAAGCCAACGAUCUGUAGCUGGUCUGAGAGGACGACCAGCCACACUGGAACUGAGACACGGUCCAGACUCCUACGGGAGGCAGCAGUGGGGAAUUUUGGACAAUGGGCGCAAGCCUGAUCCAGCCAUUCCGCGUGCAGGAUGAAGGCCUUCGGUUGUAAACUGCUUUUGUACGGAACGAAACGGCGAGCUCUAAUACAGUUUGCUAAUGACGGUACCGUAAGAAUAAGCACCGGCUAACUACGUGCCAGCAGCCGCGGUAAU
rnacentral:rRNA from 1 species